AACGCACGAGACCUGCGGACCUGCGGAGGGAUCAUUAGUGAACGCCCUCACGGGCUUAUAACUAUUCCAAACCUCUGUGAGCCGUGCCCUUCGGGGCUAUUUUACAAACAUGGUGUAAUGAACGUCAUAUAUCAUAACAAAACAAAACUUUCAGCAACGGAUCUCU
rnacentral:misc_RNA from 1 species